rnacentral:lncRNA from 1 species
AUGCAGCGCUGUGCUCACCCCAUAGCAGUGCUGUGCUCACCCCAGUGCAGUGCUGUGCUCACCCCAGUGCAGUGCUGUGCUCACCCCAGUGCAGUGCUGUGCUCACCCCAGUGCAGUGCUGUGCUCACCCCAGUGCAGUGCUGUGCUCACCCCAGUGCAGUGCUGUGCUCACCCCAGUGCAGUGCUGUGCUCACCCCAGUGCAGUGCUGUGCUCACCCCAGUGCAGUGCUGUGCUCACCCCAGUGCAGUGCUGUGCUCACCCCAGUGCAGUGCUGUGCUCACCCCAGUGCAGUGCUGUGCUCACCCCAGUGCAGUGCUGUGCUCACCCCAGUGCAGUGCUGUGCUCACCCCAGUGCAGUGCUGUGCUCACCCCAGUGCAGUGCUGUGCUCACCCCAGUGCAGUGCUGUGCUCACCCCAGUGCAGUGCUGUGCUCACCCCAGUGCAGUGCUGUGCUCACCCCAGUGCAGUGCUGUGCUCACCCCAGUGCAGUGCUGUGCUCACCCCAGUGCAGUGCUGUGCUCACCCCAGUGCAGUGCUGUGCUCACCCCAGUGCAGUGCUGUGCUCACCCCAGUGCAGUGCUGUGCUCACCCCAGUGCAGUGCUGUGCUCACCCCAGUGCAGUGCUGUGCUCACCCCAGUGCAGUGCUGUGCUCACCCCAGUGCAGUGCUGUGCUCACCCCAGUGCAGUGCUGUGCUCACCCCAGUGCAGUGCUGUGCUCACCCCAGUGCAGUGCUGUGCUCACCCCAGUGCAGUGCUGUGCUCACCCCAGUGCAGUGCUGUGCUCACCCCAGUGCAGUGCUGUGCUCACCCCAGUGCAGUGCUGUGCUCACCCCAGUGCAGUGCUGUGCUCACCCCAGUGCAGUGCUGUGCUCACCCCAGUGCAGUGCUGUGCUCACCCCAGUGCAGUGCUGUGCUCACCCCAGUGCAGUGCUGUGCUCACCCCAGUGCAGUGCUGUGCUCACCCCAGUGCAGUGCUGUGCUCACCCCAGUGCAGUGCUGUGCUCACCCCAGUGCAGUGCUGUGCUCACCCCAGUGCAGUGCUGUGCUCACCCCAGUGCAGUGCUGUGCUCACCCCAGUGCAGUGCUGUGCUCACCCCAGUGCAGUGCUGUGCUCACCCCAGUGCAGUGCUGUGCUCACCCCAGUGCAGUGCUGUGCUCACCCCAGUGCAGUGCUGUGCUCACCCCAGUGCAGUGCUGUGCUCACCCCAGUGCAGUGCUGUGCUCACCCCAGUGCAGUGCUGUGCUCACCCCAGUGCAGUGCUGUGCUCACCCCAGUGCAGUGCUGUGCUCACCCCAGUGCAGUGCUGUGCUCACCCCAGUGCAGUGCUGUGCUCACCCCAGUGCAGUGCUGUGCUCACCCCAGUGCAGUGCUGUGCUCACCCCAGUGCAGUGCUGUGCUCACCCCAGUGCAGUGCUGUGCUCACCCCAGUGCAGUGCUGUGCUCACCCCAGUGCAGUGCUGUGCUCACCCCAGUGCAGUGCUGUGCUCACCCCAGUGCAGUGCUGUGCUCACCCCAGUGCAGUGCUGUGCUCACCCCAGUGCAGUGCUGUGCUCACCCCAGUGCAGUGCUGUGCUCACCCCAGUGCAGUGCUGUGCUCACCCCAGUGCAGUGCUGUGCUCACCCCAGUGCAGUGCUGUGCUCACCCCAGUGCAGUGCUGUGCUCACCCCAGUGCAGUGCUGUGCUCACCCCAGUGCAGUGCUGUGCUCACCCCAGUGCAGUGCUGUGCUCACCCCAGUGCAGUGCUGUGCUCACCCCAGUGCAGUGCUGUGCUCACCCCAGUGCAGUGCUGUGCUCACCCCAGUGCAGUGCUGUGCUCACCCCAGUGCAGUGCUGUGCUCACCCCAGUGCAGUGCUGUGCUCACCCCAGUGCAGUGCUGUGCUCACCCCAGUGCAGUGCUGUGCUCACCCCAGUGCAGUGCUGUGCUCACCCCAGUGCAGUGCUGUGCUCACCCCAGUGCAGUGCUGUGCUCACCCCAGUGCAGUGCUGUGCUCACCCCAGUGCAGUGCUGUGCUCACCCCAGUGCAGUGCUGUGCUCACCCCAGUGCAGUGCUGUGCUCACCCCAGUGCAGUGCUGUGCUCACCCCAGUGCAGUGCUGUGCUCACCCCAGUGCAGUGCUGUGCUCACCCCAGUGCAGUGCUGUGCUCACCCCAGUGCAGUGCUGUGCUCACCCCAGUGCAGUGCUGUGCUCACCCCAGUGCAGUGCUGUGCUCACCCCAGUGCAGUGCUGUGCUCACCCCAGUGCAGUGCUGUGCUCACCCCAGUGCAGUGCUGUGCUCACCCCAGUGCAGUGCUGUGCUCACCCCAGUGCAGUGCUGUGCUCACCCCAGUGCAGUGCUGUGCUCACCCCAGUGCAGUGCUGUGCUCACCCCAGUGCAGUGCUGUGCUCACCCCAGUGCAGUGCUGUGCUCACCCCAGUGCAGUGCUGUGCUCACCCCAGUGCAGUGCUGUGCUCACCCCAGUGCAGUGCUGUGCUCACCCCAGUGCAGUGCUGUGCUCACCCCAGUGCAGUGCUGUGCUCACCCCAGUGCAGUGCUGUGCUCACCCCAGUGCAGUGCUGUGCUCACCCCAGUGCAGUGCUGUGCUCACCCCAGUGCAGUGCUGUGCUCACCCCAGUGCAGUGCUGUGCUCACCCCAGUGCAGUGCUGUGCUCACCCCAGUGCAGUGCUGUGCUCACCCCAGUGCAGUGCUGUGCUCACCCCAGUGCAGUGCUGUGCUCACCCCAGUGCAGUGCUGUGCUCACCCCAGUGCAGUGCUGUGCUCACCCCAGUGCAGUGCUGUGCUCACCCCAGUGCAGUGCUGUGCUCACCCCAGUGCAGUGCUGUGCUCACCCCAGUGCAGUGCUGUGCUCACCCCAGUGCAGUGCUGUGCUCACCCCAGUGCAGUGCUGUGCUCACCCCAGUGCAGUGCUGUGCUCACCCCAGUGCAGUGCUGUGCUCACCCCAGUGCAGUGCUGUGCUCACCCCAGUGCAGUGCUGUGCUCACCCCAGUGCAGUGCUGUGCUCACCCCAUAGCAGUGCCCGCACACAUCCCUGCUCUCACACCGACGGCUGCCUUUUGUAUCCAAGGUUUUAUACAAUAAACCACUCCCAUGUGGGGAUCUGUGGGGUAUUUGUGGGGUGUCUGUGGGAUAUCUAUGGGGUACACGUGGUUUUGUUGGGCACGACCCCAGAGCCACCCUGCUCCAUAGGGUAUCCAUGGGGUAUCCAUGGGGUAUCUAUGGGAUACACGCCUUUCUGUGGGGUGGAGGCCUCAUAUCUGCCCUGUUCUUUGGGGUAUCUGUGGGGUAUCUAUGGGGUCUAUGGGGUAUCUGUGGGGUACACGUGUUUUUGCUGGGCAGGACCCUGGUGCCCCCCUGCUCCUUGA